UACGAAGGACCCGAGCGUUAUCCGGAUUUAUUGGGUUUAAAGGGUGCGUAGGCGGACUUGUAAGUCAGUGGUGAAAUCCUGCGGCUUAACUGCAGAACUGCCAUUGAAACUGCUUGUCUUGAGUACAUUUGAAGCGGGCGGAAUGUGUCAUGUAGCGGUGAAAUGCUUAGAUAUGACACAGAACACCGAUUGCGAAAGGCAGCCACACUACGCGAAUAUUGACACUGAGGCACGAAAAGCGUGGGGGAUCAAAACAGGAUUAGAAACCCCCUGGUA
rnacentral:rRNA from 1 species